rfam:Camelus ferus unplaced genomic scaffold scaffold1633, whole genome shotgun sequence.
CUUGCAUUAAUGAAAACAGGAACAUAAACUAUGACCUAGGGGUUUCUGUUAGAUAGUUAGCAAC